GGGCCCAUAGUUCAGUUGGCAGAACGUUCGCUUAGCAUUCCACAAGAAUCUGCGGAAGGUCCAGGGUUCGAUUCCCUGUCGGUCCA